rnacentral:rRNA from 1 species
GGGAGGAGGUGUCCUAUGGCGACGGGUGAGUAACACGUUGGUGACCUACCCCGAAGAGGGGGACAACCCGGGGAAACUAGGGCUAAUACCCCAUGUAUCCAAGGAUUAGAUGCCUAGAUGAUGACAUUGUUCGAGGGCUGCGCCAUAGCUAGUGUAGGUAUGCUACCAGGCACGACGGUAGGGACCUGAGAGGUACCCCCACACUGAACUGAACACGACCAGACACCUACGGGUGGCAGCAGUAGGGAAUAUUGCACAAUAGGCGAAAGCCUGAUGCAGCAACGCCGCGUGCGCGAUGAAGGCCUUAGGGUUGUAAAGCGCUUUUCUGGGGGAAGAGAAAGGACGGUACCCCAGGAAUAAGUCUCGGCUAACUACGUGCCAGCAGCCGCGGUAAAACGUAGGAGGCGAGCGUUAUCCGGAUUUACUGGGCGUAAAGCGCGUGCAGGCGGUUUGGUAAGUCGGACGUGAAAGCUCCCGGCUCAACUGGGAGAGGCCGUUCGAAACUACCAGGACUAGAGGGCAGCAGAGGGAGGUGGAAUUCCAGGUGUAGCGGUGAAAUCGUAAUAUCUGGAGGAACACAGUGCGAGGCGCUCUGGACGUCCCUACCUGAGACGCGAAAGCUAGGGGAGCGAACGGGAUUAGAAACCCCGGUAGUCCUAGCUGUAAACGAUGCACACUUGGUGUUGGUGGCGUAAAACCCAUCAGUGCCGCAGCUAACGCGAUAAGUGUGCCGCCUGGGGACUACGGUCGCAAGGCUAAAACUCAAAGGAAUUGACGGGGGCCCGCACAAGCAGCGGAGCGUGUGGUUUAAUUCGAGGAUACGCGAAGAACCUUACCUGGGCUUGACAUGUUCGUAGUAGGAAGCCGAAAGGUGACCGACCCUUCGGGGAGCGAUCACAGGUGCUGCAUGGCUGUCGUCAGCUCGUGCCGUGAG